rnacentral:lncRNA from 1 species
UGGCUUCCUCCAUUAUUGGGUCGAUGAGAAAAUGAAAUUCCAAAAUUGAGGACGCAUCUGCCCGUACAUGGGCCGUUGUACAAGAGAUACACGAAGACAUUUAAUGUACCAAACAGAGACUUCCCUUCACGACUACUCUAUUUUGUCUUUCUAUAUUCGGAUAUAAACGUGUACGUAUAUAUAUUCCAAGAACAAUAGAAUUUUAUGUCCCUCUUUUAAUUUUUCUUCUUCAAGUGCCAGGAACAGACUGGAUGGUACCACACAGCACGGACAGCGGCCAUUGUUAGACCCCGGCCAAACAGUCCCAAAACAUGUACCAUGCAAAAACAUGUUAUGUCCAAACCAGCAAUCAGGAUUUCUCAAAUUAAAUCUGUUCGUUCUAAAUACGGAUCACAAAUCUACGAUUGCAUGGUAACAGAUACCGGUAAUCUGAGAGGGAAAGCAAAUUUGAGGAUGGGAUUUUGAGAAUGAGUUUUUAAGUAAAAGAAUUGGGGUUCAAUAAGAGGAAAACCCUGGGAAGCAAGUCAAUUAGAGAAAAAAAAAACCAAAAGAUUUCCUACAAUUAUAAUUUGACAGCUUAUCCACCCUGAAAAGGAUUCUUGGGCUUGUCCGGCUACAAUCUAUGUUUAAGGACCACUCCCCCCCCCCCCCCAGAAAGCGACCUUCAUUUAAGGUAAGCUUUUGGAGUGGCACUUGGCAACCUGCCAGUAUCGUUACGUGUAUUGCCAUUAUGACAAGAAGUCAAUCAUCAUUCAGAAUAAUGCAACUCAUUCAUUCAAAUUCGUUGUAUAGAGCUGAUAGUUUUCAUUUUCGUCUUUACCAUGUGUAAGAGGGAAAAGGAAAGAAAAGAGAGGUCAGAUUUCUUGAACAAUGCAUAAAUUGACACACAUCUGCAAAAUGAUUUAGGUAACAACUCAAACAACAAAGUUCAAAGCAUUUCAUUUACUGGACAAAAAGUUCCAGAGAGAUAGAAAGAGGCUCAUUAAGAUAACCGAGGCCUAAUUAAUAAAUUUAACAUGUCAAAAUGUUCUAACCAAGCAGCAGACCCAGUGUCCACGGGCAUCCAAGCAGGACCCAGUCCACGACAUCCAAGCAGGUCCACCCUAUGACAUCUUCACUCUCGAAAAGUCCAUCUCAGGAUGCU